CUCGGCUUCUCCUCACCGGCCCGCGAAGGGCCGCACUAGCAUCCAAGAAGAAGGUUCAUAAGUAGGAAAACGCAAGAGGUGUCCGACGUGUUGUUUCAAAACAUAACGGAGCCCUGGCCCCCGAGACCGUUAAACCGCGGGUGGAGGGGGGAGAAGCGAGGAACCCAGCAGCACCGGGCUUCGGCCUGGCCGCCCUCUUCGACUCCAAACCUCACUCUCCGGGACCACCAGCCCUCCCCCAAACCGGCCUUAGCCCCCAGUACACCCGACAAAGCGGCAAGAGGGUAUAUACCUAGAAUUGAAAUUGCUGGCUCAUAUUGAUGCCAGCAGGCUGGCCGUCCUUGGCUUCAUACAGGAUGGAUAUCAAAUGUGAGCCAGCAGGAGGUGAAAGCAGAGUCUAUUGAAGAAAAAGAGAAAGCAAUUAACAGAAGAGAAAGAGACACAGCAAGAGAGGGAAC